AUUCAAAACCGAGCACAUACAUUUGUUUGAAGAUAGGCACAUAGAGAAGUAGUUUUAUAGUUUUUGGCUGAUUGCAGCUUGGACCCCCCCUGCAUAAUCUCCUUAAUAGUGCCCUUUGUUAGUCUUGGGCCUCCAGCCGGAGAGAGCCCCACCCCCUGCCCAGUCAGCGCUGCCACAUACAGGCUGGUGCUGAGGGCACAGGAAGCGGCUGCAGCCCUGAGAGCAGGGGCGGGACACUGGGAGGAGGGAGGCAGAAACUGGGGAGGACAAAAGCAGCGCGAUACUGCGUAGCCCCCCCCCCGCCGCCGCCCGGCUUAGCACCGGAUGCUGCUGCCUCCGUGUGAUCUGGGAGCCCGAGCUGGGCCACUGCUGCUUCCCCGGGUCCGGGGAGACCUGCAUUAAACCUCCUGUGCCCAGCCUGCGGUGCGGGAGGGAGUUUCUCCAGCGGGAAGCAGCCCCGGGCUUUGCCGACCCCAGUCUCUGAGCCGGAGACUCCAGGCUGCAGAAUAACAUCCAUGUUUUCCUCCAAAUCGUCUCAUCCUCCCAUGGAACACGGGGAAAAAAUGGCUGCAGUUGAGCCAGUCCAGGAACCGGUGACCUUCAAGGAGGUGGCUGUGUAUUUCACCAAGGAGGAGUGGGCUCUGC